GGUGGGGGGGCCUCUAAAGCAAAGGAAACAGAAUGUGGUACAGCUGGAGAUUUCUCAGGCUCCUGCUUCUCUGACUCCUCCCGGCUUGGCUUGUCCGUGACGUCUGGGCAGAGCCAGCCAGCCCCUGCGGAAACGCCCAGAAACAAUGAGCAGAGAAGAGAUGCUGUUUCAAAAUGGGAAAAGCCAGUGUGUAUCUAGGGGAAUUCCGGGCAGAGAUAAAUCAGCCCACAUGACAUCUCAGGGAAAACUCAAGGUCAAAUGAGUCCUUUAAUUCAAGCAUCAGUGGGACUGCGAAGGCUAUGUACAUGUCUGCCAACUAAAGGAUGAACACUUAUAUGUUUAUCUGUGACUUCUAAGUAAAGAAUUCUACUUUGUCCAUUCAUCUAUGGAUGGACAAGUAGGUUGCUUCUAUAUCUUGUCUAUCGUAAAUAAUGCUGUCAUGAACAUAUAUCUUUUCUAAUUAGUAUUUUUGUUUCCUUUGGGUAGAUACCCAGAAGAAUUGCUGAGUUGUAUGGUGAUUCUAUUUUUAAUUUGUUGAG
rnacentral:lncRNA from 1 species